rnacentral:tRNA from 1 species
GACCGCGUAGCUCAGUUGGAAGAGCAUUGGGCUAGUAUUCCAAAGGUAGUAGGUUCGAAUCCCACCGUGGCCG